GAGGAUGCAUGAAGAUCGAAAUAGGCGCUAGGAUUACACUUUAGACGUGUGAUAACGAAUAUAUUUCCCUUUAUGUUAUGUCGCUUGAGACUUGUUGAACUAUAUUUUCCUUUAUGUUAUGUCGCUUGAGACUUGUUGAACUAUAUUUCCCUUUAUGUUAUGUCACUUGAGACUUGUUGAACUAUAUUUCCCUUUAUGUUAUGUGACUUGAGACUUGUUGAACUAUAUUUC
rnacentral:lncRNA from 1 species